rnacentral:rRNA from 1 species
CAAGUCGAACGGGGUUAUCGGGCAGCUUGCUGCCCGAUACACCUAGUGGCGCACGGGUGAGUAACACGUGGGCAACCUACCCAGAAGACCGGGACAACACUUCGAAAGGGGUGCUAAUACCGGAUACGCCCGCGGAGUCGCAUGAUUUAGCGGGGAAAGAAUUUUCGCUUUUGGAUGGGCCCGCGUCCCAUUAGCUAGUUGGUGAGGUAAUAGCUCACCAAGGCAACGAUGGAUAGGGGAACUGAGAGGUUUAUCCCCCACACUGGUACUGAGACACGGACCAGACUCC